rnacentral:tRNA from 1 species
GGGGAUUUGGUCUAGGGGUAUGACGUUUGUUUUGCAUUGUCUCAGCGACUGAUGGCCUACAAAAGGUCGGGGGUUCAAUUCCCUCAAUCUCCA